rnacentral:lncRNA from 1 species
UUAGACUGUCUAACGUCGCAGUCUAUGAGAUUUGGGUGAUCUCUAGUAAACUUAUGAAGAGACCUUGGAGUACGACGUAUAUGCUCCACCCGAGAAGGGGACUACUGGUAGCCAAGUACUGGUCAUGACUUCAAGUGAAACCCAUUCACGCAAAACUUGCAAUUCAAGGCAUAGUCCAUUGUCCAAGUUGUGGGUUGGUGUAACUUGGAGUUCUAGGCGGAAGUUCAACUUAACAGUCUCUGCUGAAAAACUAGUAUAUUAAACAGUAGUGAACAGUGGCGAAAACUGCAGAUGGGCAUUUGAGAUCUGGUGGGGGAUUGUUAGGAUUUAUGGGCUUGGCCCAAUUAAGAAUUUCUAAUAAAUCCCAGGAAAAUCUCAAAAGCCCAUAUAAGUGGAUGGCAAAGGGAUAGGUGAAACCAAUAGCACCAUAUUGCUAGCUCUAGUGGAGUAGAGCUAGCUUAAAUAUGGAAGCCACACUCACUCACCAAGUCAUGGAUGAGAGGAGAGUGUGUGGAGAGCCACA